rnacentral:lncRNA from 1 species
GCCUGUACAAGACAUCAUGCUCCGGAUCCGAGCAUAGAAAAAUCCACUGGAUUUUUUAGUAAUCAAAUCCACCCAUCCAUAACUCCGUUCGCAUAGAAAAAUGUCACAAAAUUUCUGUACACAAAAUCUGAACCAACUAGCUGGAUUAGAACAUCCACUGAAAAUUCGUAGGCGUUGAAUUAGAAUUUUUUUUUCAAGAUUUAGCAAUCACAUCUCUACCCACAGAUCGAGAGACGAAUCAAAUCGAACCACAAUUUGCGCAACAGAGAGCAAUGAAUCAAAUCGAAACGUGGCGGAGGAAGACCAGAAAGCGUGUCCCGCCUAGGAUCCGACGAGGUUCUGCGGAAGCAGCACCUGGACGACCUGCUCUAGGAGAAGGCGCGGCUAGAGGCGGGCCGCCGUACCCGGCCCCCGCCAAGGUCCGACCGCACAUUGUGCCCGCUCGUACUCGGCAACCGCCAUGCACCCGUGGGCAUCGGUCGACAGAGAUCCGGAGGUAGGGGACGGAGGAGCUGAUGGGCGGCGGCGGUCGCUCACUGACCCAAGAUCGACGAGGGGCUGCUCCAGCGACAAGAUCAGGUGGCAGGCGACCGGAUCGGGGUGACCUCGAGAGGCGGCGGCAACCGGAUCCACGAGGAGCUGAUGGGCGGCGGCGGCGACCGGAUCAGGGCGUACUCGAGGGGCAGCGGGGCCUCGAUCUGGAUCGAUGUAGGUGGGGGCUGCGAAGAAAGAGCCUUCCCGAUCGAUGUUGUCCCCGGCGGCAUCUCGAUCCGGAGGAGUUCUACUGGAUCGAGUGAGAAGGAGAAAAGGAGAUAUUUAGGGCGAAGGUGGGGCCUAGUUUUUUGGAAUAGCCCAGGUUCCCAUCGUAAAUGGCCCAGGUUCCCAUCGUAAAUGGCCCA